UACGAAGGGUGCAAGCGUUAAUCGGAAUUACUGGGCGUAAAGCGUGCGUAGGCGGCCUUGUAAGUCGGAUGUGAAAGCCCCGGGCUUAACCUGGGAAUGGCAUUCGAGACUGCGGGGCUAGAGUUUGGGAGAGGGUGGUGGAAUUCCCGGUGUAGCGGUGAAAUGCGUAGAGAUCGGGAGGAACAUCAGUGGCGAAGGCGGCCACCUGGCCUAAAACUGACGCUGAGGCACGAAAGCGUGGGGAGCAAAC
rnacentral:rRNA from 1 species